AUACGGAGGGUGCAAGCGUUAUCCGGAUUCACUGGGUUUAAAGGGUGCGUAGGUGGGCAGUUAAGUCAGUGGUGAAAUCUCCGGGCUCAACCCGGAAACUGCCAUUGAUACUAUCUGUCUUGAAUAUCGUUGAGGUAAGCGGAAUAUGUCAUGUAGCGGUGAAAUGCUUAGAUAUGACAUAGAACACCAAUUGCGAAGGCAGCUUGCUAACCGAAUAUUGACACUGAGGCACGAAAGCGUGGGGAUCAAACAGGAUUAGAUACCCUGGUAGUCCACGCCCUAAACGAUGGAUACUCGACAUACGCGAUAUACAGUGUGUGUCUGAGCGAAAGCAUUAAGUAUCCCACCUGGGAAGUACGACCGCAAGGUUGAA
rnacentral:rRNA from 1 species